UAUAAAUUAACAUUUAACUUAUUUAACUUUUUCUAGUAAUUUUAUUGUUAUUUUAACCUCAAGUCAUUUAUUAAUAUGUAGGUAUUAAAUAAUUAAUAAUUUCAUGAAAAGUACUAAUAUGAAAGAUUAAUAAUGUAUUUAUAUUUUAUCAAUAUUUAAUUACAAUUCACAUCAAAAUUGUAAAGAAAAUAUUACCUAUUAGUUAUGGCUUCAUUAUUUAUUUAUUUUUAAUAAGCUUAUUUAGUGCUAUCCGUGUAACAUAAAAAUUAAUUUAAUUUAUAUGCAUAUGAAAACAUAAUAAGAUGGUAUAAUUUAUUUAUAAAAUAUCAAAUUUUUAUUAGUAUUUUAAAUUAUAAAAUUUAAGUUUUUAUUUUUUAAUUACGAUUAUUUUAACUUAUUGAAUUUCAAUACGAAUAUUUUUUAAAUUGUAUUGUCUUGAAUUUUAUGUUACAGUUAAUUGUAUCAUGAAAUACAUAUUUUUUUUAAAUUAGUAACUUUUUGUAAAAAAAAAAAAAAAAAAAUGUAUUUCUGCUGAAAUUGACUGUAACAUUUAAUUUUGGAAGAUAAUAUAUAACAUUCUAAUAAUAUCAAUCAAUUAACUGUAUAAUAUUUAAACUUGCAACCAAUUUAAAUACAAUAAAUAAAAAAACUGUGAUUUAUAUACUAAAGUGAUAAGAAAAUAAGGCAAAGGCUGCUCUGUACCAAACAAUUUAAUAUUAAUGAUUCAUUUAUAUCUUAAAACUAAAAAGUUUUUAAAAAAAUAGUAAUAUUUUUUUUUUUGUAUUUUUAGUAAUUUAUGAUAUGAUAAAAAAUAGCAUAAAAAUAAAAUAUUAUAUAUUAUUUAUUUUACAAUCUUAUAUUUUAUUAAUUUGAAUGAUAAUAAUUUAAUUUAAUAUACAUUCAAAAAUGAAUAUUAAGUCUACAUAACUUUAUUAGGAUUUAUUAAUUAUUACUUAAUUGUUUAAAAAUAAAAAUAAUUUAAAUAAUAUAUUAUUGACUGUAUUUAAAACAAUAAAUAAUAUGUGUAUACUAUAUGUAUAAUAAUUAUAUAAUUAUGUAUGACUUUAUCAGUCUUUACCUAGUGAUAAUUUAUCUAGGAUAAAGCUUUAAAAAAUACAAAUUAUUAUUUUUAAAAGUGAUAAUUUAGUAAAUGGCCGAAUUUUUUUUUUAGAAUUAUUGUUUUUAUAAAAAAAUUUGAAUUUAAUUAUGGAUGGAAGUUCAAAAUGCUGUUUACCGAUGCCAUGUAACUACAUCAAAGCAUGUGUUGUUUCAUAUGCUACCUACUUAUUGAUUUAUUUACAAUGAUAUUUAUAACAAUUCAUAAUAAAAGUCUUAUAGAUAUUAAUUGGAAAUUUCAUAAGGUUACUUCAUCAAAUAUUUUGUGUAGUGUUACUAGUAGAUCGGUAUCGAGUGACUUGAUCACCAAAAAUAAUGUAUUAUUUAUUUACUAGUUUUUAUUAUGACAGUUAUAUUAUUUUAUAAAGAUUUAUCGUUUUUAAAAUUCUAUUUUAUUUAUAUUAUAAUUAUCACAGAAUUGUGUUAUUAUUAUUAUUUAUUACAGUACCUAUUAUAAAAUUUAUAAAAUAUAUAUAUAUAUUCGAAAAUGCUUUAAUGUUGUUAAAGUUGAAAAUUAUGGGCUAUUACUCUUAAAAAGUCUGAGGUUAUAUUCACUUUAAACAUUUGUAUAGUUUAAUUUAAGUAUUUAGAUAUAUAAAUUAUUUUGGGGAACAAUCCACUGUGAUCUUAGUAGGUCAUCUAGUUAUCAUGGAAUUUAUUCGAUUUCCUAUUAAAUUGCAUAGGUUUAAAACAAAGUUCUUUAAAAAAAUCAAAUAAUUUGUUUGAACUCAAGACUAAAAUUAAUUUUUAUUUGCAGAUGCAUUAGCUUAAUAUUAUAUUCACUCAGGAUAGAGGAUAUAAAGAAACUACUCUAUAUUAUUAUAAUUAUCUUUUUUCAUUAUUUCGGAUUUUUGUAACUUGGCAUUUUUUUAAAAAAAAGUAUAUUUGUCUGGGACACUGGAAAAUUGUGAAUUAAGUGGUGGAUCUAACUUCCCAUAAAUAAAACUAUAGACUUAUUUAUAGAGCAGACAGAUUUGAAAAUAAUAUUCAGAAUUGAAUUUAGUAUGAUAAUAUUGAUAAUUUGUUUUUUAGUAAGUCUUAAUAAUUAUAAAAUAAACACUCAGCAAAUUUAUAAUCCAAACUAAAAUAUAUUCAAAAUAUUACCCAAAAAUUAUAUAUUUAGUCCUCUAUCAAUAUAGUUGUUAUAUAUGUCUAAUUCUUCAGUUAAUAGAAUUUUAAACUAUUAUAACUAUUAUAUGGGCUCUUUGAAAACUUUAUGUGUACGUAUUAUAAAAUAUCUUCUCUUCCGUCUUCAUUUUAGCUAUUUGGGGUUCAGCCAUCCUUUUUCUAAAUUUCCACUUGACCUAAUCUACCUCGUAUCAUUCUCAAUCACAUUCAACCACAUAUUUAUUGUUCUUCUUUCUUUCUUUCUUCAUGCCCAAACCAUCUCGGUCUAUUUUCUUUCAUUUUUUUAUUAUUGAAGCCACACACAUGUUGCCUUUUCUGUACUUGUUCUUUAUCAUAUUUUCUCUCAUCACUCCACUCAUAACCUCCUUAAAUUUUUUUCAUUUCUGAUACACUCAUUCUUUGUUCUUUUUUUCUAUCUACAACCCAACACUCCAAAUCAUAAAAUAUAGUUAGUCUUACCAUACUCUUGUAGAACUUACUUUUAAGUCUCAUUAAAAUUCUCGUCACUUAAAAUAUAUCAAAAAUGGGGCAGUUUGUCCAUGCCUUGUUUAGGAAUCCUCAAACUAUUUGAUAACAUUUUUACACUGGCUGUCAACCUGACACAGCCUCAUUUAUCAGGGGUACAUGUAUAGGUUCUGUGCGAAUAUUCUGUUCCCCACUCAUAAGGAUGUCUCUUAUAAAAUGUACUUAUUAAUUAUUAUUAUUAAUACUAUUACAUUCAUUUAUUUUUGUUUUAUAUUUUAUAUUUUGUUUUCCCCUUUUCUGGAUGAUCUAUUACUCGGUAUCAUAUUAUGUAUUUCCUUUGUAAAUAUUAAUAAUCUAUUUAAUCUCCAUAGGUGGGUAUUUUGGCAUUGUUGCAUACACCAUAUCAUACUGUUUUGUAAAAUGGACACUGUCCAUAAAUAAAUAAUAUACUGUAAUUUGAUGAUAGAUAAAAAAAUGUAGGUGGCAUAUCAAACUAUUAUCAAAUUAUUAUUUAAUUACAUAAUUUUGUUAAGGUUCUUUUUUUUUUUGCUGGUGGACAUUAAAAUAUUUCCUAAAUAGAUUCCCUUUCUGACUACUCUAGUAGUCUGACCUUGAUGUUUCCCUCAUCUGGACUGAACCUGUUAACCUUAAUAAACUUUGAAAAAUGUCACACCAUGACUUUUUCAGGAAAUGUUUUCGUAUCCUGCUCUUGUAUUCCCUCGGUAACGCUCCUCUCCUAUGUGAUGAUAUUUUUAAAGACCUAGGUUUUUAUUUUUCUCCCAUCCUCCUUCACCACAUCAAUGUUAUUGUUGUGUCUUUUCUUAAGAUUCUUAGGUUCAUUUAGCCUAAAUAAAAUCUUCACCUCUGCUAGUCUGCUAUUUGUCUUUGCACACUUUACCUAUGUUUGGUAUGGCCAAUCCUUAAAUAUGGUUCACUGUCUAGUAUCUCUACUUAGCUUAUAAUCAGCUGCACAUCAAAUGAGUUCAAAACUGAUUUUUCUUUUGCAGCCCAUCAAUUGAAAAUUGAGCAUCCCCCACACGUCUAUGUUUGCAUCCACUUGUUCUUGAUAUUUCCAUGCUUAUUUUUUAACAUAUUGAUGUGGACUUAGUUUUCAUCUUCACCCUUCUUAAUGGUAUUCUCAAUGUCUCUUAUUUACUAGUCUCUGUCUCAAUCUGUGUUCCUUCUUUAUCCAAUAGAAACCUUUCUUUGUUUUCUAUACCAUUUAUGGGCAUAAUCAACCACUUCAUAGAAUGUUGCGUCACCUUAACACGACAUAGUUCCGGACCUUAUCGCCUAUACUUAUUACUGUUCUUUUAUUCUUAAGUCAUACUCAUUAUUAUGUUACUGUUAUAUAAUCCAAUGCCUUUAGGCGUUUACUUAUUAAAUAAAUAAUUGCUACAAUGAUUAAUGCAAUUUAAAAAAAUGUACAGACAUUAAAUAUAUACCAAAGAUUUGAACAAUACUAAAAUAAAUCAAAGUUGUCACCACAGUUACCAAGUGUACUUGUACACUUCAUAUUAUUCCCAUUAUAAUUUUGGUGAAUGUUUUUUUUAAUAUGAAGUUGUUUUUUUUUUUUUUUUUUUUUAAUAUAAUUUAACUGUUUUAAAUGUAGUUGUUAUUAUUAUUAUUAUUAUUAUUAUUAUUUAGCUGUCCAGUUGUUUAUUAAAUGUAUAUGCUUUAGAUUUAUUUUCUUGUCAUACUGUAAUAAUAUAAUUAUUGGGUAAUUUGAUUAGGUAAUGGACUGGUUUUAUGAAAAUAACAAAACUU